rnacentral:rRNA from 1 species
CCUACGGGUGGCAGCAGUGAGGAAUAUUGGUCAAUGGACGCAAGUCUGAACCAGCCAUGCCGCGUGCAGGAUGACGGCUCUAUGAGUUGUAAACUGCUUUUGUACGGGAGUAAAGUCCAAUACGUGUAUCGGUUUGCAAGUAUCGUACGAAUAAGGAUCGGCUAACUCCGUGCCAGCAGCCGCGGUAAUACGGAGGAUCCAAGCGUUAUCCGGAUUUAUUGGGUUUAAAGGGUGCGUAGGCGGUUCGAUAAGUUAGAGGUGAAAGCCCGCGGCUCAACUCCGGCACUGCAUCUGAUACUGUCGGGCUAGAGUUUAGUUGAGGUAGGCGGAAUGUAUGGUGUAGCGGUGAAAUGCAUAGAGAUCACACAGAACACCGAUUGCGAAGGCAGCUUACCAAACUAUGACUGACGUUGAGGCACGAAAGCGUGGGGAGCAAACAGGAUUAGAUACCCUUGUAGUC